GACGAACGCUGGCGGCGUGCCUAAUACAUGCAAGUAGAACGCACAGUUUAUACCGUAGCUUGCUACACCAUACACUGUGAGUUGCGAACGGGUGAGUAACGCGUAGGUAACCUGCCUGGUAGCGGGGGAUAACUAUUGGAAACGAUAGCUAAUACCGCAUAAUAUUGAUUAUUGCAUGAUAAUUGAUUGAAAGAUGCUAUUGCAUCACUACCAGAUGGACCUGCGUUGUAUUAGCUAGUAGGUGAGGUAACGGCUCACCUAGGCGACGAUACAUAGCCGACCUGAGAGGGUGAUCGGCCACACUGGGACUGAGACACGGCCCAGACUCCUACGGGAGGCAGCAGUAGGGAAUCUUCGGCAAUAGACGAAAGUCUGACCGAGCAACGCCGCGUGAGUGAAGAAGGUUUUCGGAUCGUAAAGCUCUGUUGUAAGAGAAGAACGGGUGUGAGAGUGGAAGGUUCACACUGUGACGGUAUCUUACCAGAAAGGGACGGCUAACUACGUG
rnacentral:rRNA from 1 species